rnacentral:rRNA from 1 species
UUCAUUGAAGAGUUUGAUCAUGGCUCAGAUUGAACGCUGGCGGCAGGCCUAACACAUGCAAGUCGAGCGGUAACAGGGGAAGCUUGCUUCCCGCUGACGAGCGGCGGAC